rnacentral:rRNA from 1 species
UACGUAGGGGGCAAGCGUUGUCCGGAAUUAUUGGGCGUAAAGAGCGUGUAGGCGGUCCGAUAAGUCAGCUGUGAAAGUCAAGGGCUCAACCCUUGAAUGCCGGUUGAUACUGUCGGGCUAGAGUCCGGAAGAGGCGAGUGGAAUUCCCGGUGUAGCGGUGAAAUGCGCAGAUAUCGGGAGGAACACCAAUGGCGAAGGCAGCUCGCUGGGACGGUACUGACGCUGAGACGCGAAAGCGUGGGGAGCAAACAGG